rnacentral:tRNA from 1 species
GCCGCCUUAGCUCAGUUGGUAGAGCGUCUCACUCGUAAUGAGAAGGUCGAGAGUUCGAUUCUCUCAGGUGGCCCCA